GACGAACGCUGGCGGCGUGCUUAACACAUGCAAGUCGAACGGGAUCCCAAGGCUUUUUGUUUUUGGUGAGAGUGGCGAACGGGUGAGUAACACGUGAGUAACCUGCCCCCUUCUUUUGGAUAACCGCAUGAAAGUGUGGCUAAUACAGGAUAUUCCAGGCUGGUCGCAUGAUUGGUUUGGGAAAUGGUUUGGUCUGGUGGGGGAUGGGCUCGCGGCCUAUCAGCUUGUUGGUGGGGUGAUGGCCUACCAAGGCGGUGACGGGUAGCCGGCCUGAGAGGGUGGGCGGUCACACUGGGACUGAGAUACGGCCCAGACUCCUACGGGAGGCAGCAGUGGGGGAUUUUGCACAAUGGGCGCAAGCCGGAUGCAGCGACGCCGCGUGAGGGAUGAAGGCCUUCGGGUUGUAAACCUCUUUCGCUGGGUUGAAAGGCCAUGCUUUGGGUGUGGUUGAUUUGAACUGGUAAAGAAGUACCGGCUAACUACGUG
rnacentral:rRNA from 1 species